CAAGAAGGGAGGGCGAGUUCAGGGGGUCGGACGGCUGCUCGCUGCCGCUGGUGCGUGUGGCGCCGGCGAAUGCGGAGACUUCCGGGCAGCUCGGCGAUCUCCGACUCCAGCUCUGCCUUUUCCUCUUCCAGCUGAUCCGUUUCCUGAUGGGCCCCCGGCAGGGCCAGGUCAUAGGAGACAGAAAGGAAGGACCACGGUCAACGACCACACAGAAAGCCUCAGCCGCCCCCACACGCAUCCUAGCUGCUGAUCCACAGACCCUCCCGACGGAGGGGCGUGCCCCUCUGAGAGGGACUCCGGGUGGAGAGAUGGCGCAACAUGGAGCCUCAGCCCCCCAUCUGCGCAAGAGAUGGUUGGGGGAAAGCCAGGCUGGAACGGAAGUCUCUGAUGGGCAACAGCUCCAGGCCUAGUGUGGUGGUGAACACCUGUAAAAUCCGGACACUCAGAGGCUGAGGCGGGGGAAGGAUUGCUUGUUUGUGGCCAGCCGGAACUAAGGACUGUCCUGCCUUAAAAUGGGAGGAAGGGGGCAAUGUAGCUCAGUGAGCAAAGGCGAUCGCCAGCAAGCCUGACAAAUUGAGCUCGAUUUCUGGGGCCCACAGAGGGAAGGGGAGAACCAGGCCCUCUGAAAAUUGUUCUCUGACCUCCCUAUGCGUGCACACCUGCACCCACUCGGACGUAAGAAAAUAGAUAAAUAUUAGGAAUAUGCCUUUUAAAGAGAGCAAAAGAAAAACACUGCAAUUUUCUGAGUGAAUAAACAACGGUUAAGUGUU